rnacentral:antisense_RNA from 1 species
UGUUCCUGCGUCAUGGCCAGACAAAUCAGGCCGCGCCCGUGCGUGGCCAUGAAAUUAAUCGCUUCCGGCGUCACCCACUCGGCACCCAUGACC